rnacentral:rRNA from 1 species
AACGAACGCUGGCGGCAGGCUUAACACAUGCAAGUCGAACGGGUGUAGCAAUACAUCAGUGGCAGACGGGUGAGUAACACGUGGGAACCUUCCUCGUUGUACGGGACAACUCAGGGAAACUUGAGCUAAUACCGUAUACGUCCGAGAGGAGAAAGAUUUAUCGCAAUGAGACGGGCCCGCGUCGGAUUAGCUAGUUGGUGGGGUAACGGCCUACCAAGGCGACGAUCCGUAGCUGAUCUGAGAGGAUGAUCAGCCACACUGGGACUGAGACACGGCCCCGACUCCGACGGGAGGCAGCAGUGGGGAAUCUUGGACAAUGGGCGCAAGCCUGAUCCAGCCAUGCCGCGUGAGUGAAGAAGGCCUUAGGGUUGUAAAGCUCUUUUGCCAGGGACGAUAAUGACGGUACCUGGAGAAUAAGCCCCGGCAAACUUCGUGCCAGCCGCCGCCGUAA